rnacentral:tRNA from 1 species
GCGAUUAUAGUUCAAAGGUAGAACAGUAGAUUGUGGAUCUAUUUAUCAAGGUUCAAUUCCUUGUAUUCGCC